UACAGAGGGUGCAAGCGUUGUUCGGAAUUAUUGGGCGUAAAGAGCUCGUAGGCGGUCUGUCGCGUCUGCUGUGAAAACUCAGGGCUUAACCCUGAGCUUGCAGUGGGUACGGGCAGACUAGAGUGCGGUAGGGGAGACUGGAAUUCCUGGUGUAGCGGUGAAAUGCGCAGAUAUCAGGAGGAACACCGGUGGCGAAGGCGGGUCUCUGGGCCGUAACUGACGC
rnacentral:rRNA from 1 species